UACAGAGGGUGCGAGCGUUAAUCGGAAUUACUGGGCGUAAAGCGCACGUAGGCGGCUUGGUAUGUCGGGUGUGAAAUCCCCGGGCUCAACCUGGGAACUGCAUCCGAAACUGCCUUGCUAGAGUAUGGGAGAGGGAAGUGGAAUUUCCGGUGUAGCGGUGAAAUGCGUAGAUAUCGGAAGGAACAUCAGUGGCGAAGGCGACUUCCUGGACCAAUACUGACGCUGAGGUGCGAAAGCGUGGGGAGCAAACAGG
rnacentral:rRNA from 1 species